rnacentral:rRNA from 1 species
UCCUACGGGAGGCAGCAGUGGGGAAUAUUGGACAAUGGGCGCAAGCCUGAUCCAGCCAUGCCGCGUGUGUGAAGAAGGCCUUCGGGUUGUAAAGCACUUUCGGCAGGGAAGAAACGGUAUGGGUUAAUACCCCGUGCUAAUGACGGUACCUGAAGAAGAAGCACCGGCUAACUACGUGCCAGCAGCCGCGGUAAU